rnacentral:rRNA from 1 species
ACCUGUCCUUAGUACGAGAGGACCGGGAUGGACGUACCUCUGGUGUACCAGUUGUUCUGCCAAGGGCAUGGCUGGUAGCUAUGUACGGAAUGGAUAAGCGCUGAAAGCAUCUAAGCGCGAAGCCAACUUCAAGAUAAGAUUUCCCACCGCAAGGGUAAGACCCCAGAAAGACUAUCUGGUUGAUAGGUCGAAGGUGUAAGUGCAGCAAUGUAUUUAGCUUAUCGAUACUAAUAGGUCGAGGACUUGACCAAU